UGAUUUACUAGAUGAAGACAGACACAUAUCACCCAUGCCCCUGCCAUUUGAAAUGAUGCCACAUGGGAACCUUGGCAUUCCUGAACCUUAUAGAAGCUGCCCUUGCCCUUCUUUCACUUCCUCCGUUUUGAGGAGAACAAAUCUUCUCUCCUUUGGCAGCUGAGGGUGUGUGGAAGUGACUCAUAUAGGAACCCACUGGUUUUCCAGUAGCAUGAGCACAUCAUUUAAACGAUUUGCCCCCUGCCUCACAUGUAGAUCAGUGACCCUAGAAACUGUCCCAUCAGACUCUUCCGGUUCUCUGACAAUCUGAUAGGUGCUGGGGACACACUGCCUGGAGGUGAGUUGUUUGCCUGGUUUAAGUGGUUCAGCUGAGGAUUUCAACAGAGCUCUGCUGAAUUCCUAUGGCAAUACCAGUAGCCAGUGUUUAAAUAUUCAUACCCCGUGGAGCCAGACGAUACCCAAAAAUGGCACAGCUUUGAGAUGCAUCUUAUUGGGAUCACUGAGAUGCUGUGGCCUGAAUGCCCAUCUAACCAGGAAGAAUUAUAUGCAACAAGAAAGCACAUUCACAAAGUCUGAAGGCUUCCUUGAAUUCGCUGACAAGUAGAGGAAAUGAAAGAUGCGGAAUUUUCCUGACAUCAUUUCAAAUUGCAUCAUUUCAAAACAGUAUGAAGUGUGUGACUAGAAGCAUUACGGAAUACAGAAAAUCAACUUGCAGCAGACUGGCAAUCAGGUUACAUCUAAGUUAAUGGUGGAUUGGGCUAAAUGUGAAUUCCAUUCCACCAGGAAAGAAUGAAUGGACAUUUAGAAAAUGUUUGUGGAACUCUGAAGAGCUUCUGAAAUGUAGACAUUUGUUAUAGUUUACACUGCCACCUGCAGUGUCCGGGGGAACCAGCCUCUCUCAAUCUCCACAGCAUUGUUAUUUAUCACUGCUUGACAUUUUCCGUAAUUUAGAGAUUAAAAAACGGUAUGUCUAAGUUGUUGUAGCUAGAUUUUUUUGUCUUUUUUUUUUUUUUUUUUUUUUUUUUUUUUUGAGAUGGAGUUUCGCUGUUGUUACCCAGACUGGAGUGCAAUGGCACGAUCUCUGCUCACCGCAACCUCCGCCUUCUGGGUUCAGGCAAUUCUCCUGCCUCAGCCUCCCGAAUAGCUGGGACUACAGGCGCGCACCACCAUGCCCAGCUAAUUUUUGUGUUUUUAGUAGAGAUGGGGUUUCACCAUGUUGACUGGGAUGGUCUCGAUCUCCUGACCUCGUGAUCCACCCACCUCGGCCUCCCAAAGUGCUGGGAUUAUAGGCGUGAGCCACCGAGCCCGGCCGAAUUUUUUGUCUACUGAAGAUUUCCUCCUUGUGGAUUUCAACAUUGUUUAAAAAAUAAGUUUCUGAUUAUAUAUUUGGCUCAUUUUUCUAUUUGAAUCCUGAUAAUGUUUUUCUUAACUUCUAUAAUGGGCUUUUGAAAAUCACAGGUAUCAUCCUUUACAAAUCAUAAGUGAUACAGUUUUGUUAGUCUAUGAUUUUGUUGGCAGAGAUCAUAGAACAUGGCAAACAUUCAAAAAUAUAUGUUCUUUUAAAUCAUCUUAUAUUUAAAAAGUUUUAAAAAUAUAAAACAAGUAUGUUCUAUUUUUGAAAAAAUAAAUAUGUAGGCAAAGUAGAAAAAUCCUCACUCAAACAAAGGCAAUAACUGUAGUUUUUACCAGGGACUUUUAAUUUAUUUUAAUACCUGAAUACUGUUCCUGCAAAUUAUAUUCUCAUUUACUGAUUUUCUAGUGCUUUCUCAGUUAGUUUUCAAUUUUGCUCUAUGAUAUAAUGUUGUUACAAGAACAAAUCGCUAAAUUAUAAAUAUUUAUAUUUACAAUUGUA
ensembl:lncRNA